UAGUCGAGCGGAUGAGGGAGCUUGCUCCUGGAUUCAGCGGCGGACGGGUGAGUAAUGCCUAGGAAUCUGCCUGGUAGUGGGGGAUAACGUCCGGAAACGGGCGCUAAUACCGCAUACGUCCUGAGGGAGAAAGUGGGGGAUCUUCGGACCUCACGCUAUCAGAUGAGCCUAGGUCGGAUUAGCUAGUUGGUGGGGUAAAGGCCUACCAAGGCGACGAUCCGUAACUGGUCUGAGAGGAUGAUCAGUCACACUGGAACUGAGACACGGUCCAGACUCCUACGGGAGGCAGCAGUGGGGAAUAUUGGACAAUGGGCGAAAGCCUGAUCCAGCCAUGCCGCGUGUGUGAAGAAGGUCUU
rnacentral:rRNA from 1 species